ACACAUUUUUAUGUUCAGGUUUACUUGACUUGAAUACAGAUUUGUAAGGUACGGUAUUAAAUGUAAUGUAUUAUGGUCUGAGUUGGAGAGGGGGGGGGGGUUUGGCUUGACUGAAUAUGCCCCCUUUAUAUUUCCAUAACAUUUAUCUAAGAUCCUGUUAUUUCUCGUGUCACAUUUUACAUAUUGUUGAAAACCUGGCAGCACGCUCUCCAGUUUGCAGUGAUUAUAAUCACCCAAAAAAAAAAAAUAGCCUCCCCAGGUGUGCGCUGCAACUGUUCAUGUGCGCACUCUGCUAUGAGCUCGGCGGUUCAGCCUGUGUUGGCGCUGGGUGGAACAUAAAUAGCGGCUAUAAUAAUAUUGCCAAACUCCCUUGGCAAGUAGUGAUGUCUCAUAGAUAUGCAAAGCAGUUCGACAUCAGGGCUGCAUAUAGUCUCUCUCACUGUGUAUUGUUUACACCAUUUGUCACUCACGUACAUGCAGAUUCCUAAUCCGUUCCUUUUCCCGGCUCGCACCAGCGAGUAGCCACCCAAGUUGAGCAGAUAGUCCGGGACUCCUUGGUGAAGCCACGUCUCAGUGAACACCAUAAGGUUAGAUUCCCGAUACUCGAAACAGCUCCUUUGGUUAGUACGAAGCUCAUCCAUCUUGGGUGUCUAAAACAGUCUGACAUAACACCUGAAGUAAUUAUCCUAUCAGGAUUAGUGACAAGUAUCCAGUCCAGCAGGGAUGAGGACCGACAAUCAACUCUAGUUGGCUCCUUAAUUAAUUGAGUGAGAUUUACACUGCCUAAUAAGUUUUUUCAGCAGAGGAGCAAUCUGGCCAGUUGCUACUAAAAUCACCCAGGAUAAUCACUUCAUUUUGCCUUUCAAGAGAAUUAACAGUUGACAAAAUACAAUUCAUACAAUCAGUCGGAGCAGAGGGAGGCCUGUAAAUAUUUCCAAUAGUUAAAUGUUUAUUUUUAUGACAAAUAAUAUUGAUAAAAAGACACACAAAAUUAACUGGCUCUACAUUAGGUAUGACACGUUCCGAAACUAAAUUUAAAACCACGUACUAUUUCAGCUAUCCCAUCUCCUCUAGUGGGCCUAUCAGCUCUAUACAGAACAUAGUUAUCGAUUUCUACUUCCUCGUCUGUAAUAUUACUAUGUAGCCAUGUUUCAGAAAUGGUGAUAAUGCUAGGUCUAUAAAGAGUAACCUUUAAACCUUUAGCCAAAUUAAUGUUUAUUAUAUUUAUGAUAGAGGUUGAAAUAUAUCAGUAAGCAAAGUUGGUGAGGGGAAAAAGUGGCAAGAGUAACCAGACAAAGGUGGCGAGAGCAACCAGACAGAUAAACCAAGACAAACAUAAACAAUGAAAUAAAACCAAAAUAACAAACAAGCAGUCCAUGUCUGAGCAAUAUCAAACAAAACUCUACAGCUAAACUGUAGGAAAUCAGGCUUGAGAGAUCUCUUUCCAUACAUAAACAAUGGAUAACCCCAAACAUACAAAAUAUGGGAAUUAAUGUGCACCUAGUCAAAAAAUAACAACAGUAAAAGAAUACCAAAAAUUUAGUGGAUAUAAGGCAACAUACCAGUUAUAAGAUCACUGAUGACCAACCAAUGCACAACACACCAACCGGACAGCCCAAAAGAUACAUUUCCACAACAUAAGUGCUAAUAGGUCCUGUGAGGAAGAGACACCCAUCAUAUUGGAAACAAGACAUACCAGACAGUUCAACAGAAUAUGCAAAUCAUUUAAUCAGGCAUAACAACAGGACCUGGCAGCAAUCAAAUUUCAAUUGAAACAAAAUCAACUCUGGAAAACCAUACAGUCAGCAAACCAAACUGACAGGCUCGCAGGGGAAAACUGCCAAAACGGGUCCUUGUGUCCGUUCACGGCAGAGAUAGUCAACUGGAGGGGGGAAAAAAAACACACAACAAAAAAACAACUCUGUUCAGUUACUGCUAUAUAGUUGAUUGAAGACGAUUGCACCGGAAAGAAGUGUGCAUUUGCUAGUUGGAAGCAGGGCCAGGGAUGAUAGCUUUAUCAACCGAAAAAAACCUUUUCCUAGCAUCCUUCAUCGUAAUACUGAGCCUGGCAGAAAACAACAGCACACGCCUGAGGCCAAGUUUGUAAAGUUCUGACAUUACCUCUUGGUAUUUGCAGCGCUGCUCCAUUACCGCCGGUGUGUAAUCCUCAUAGACAGCACCAGGGGUUCCCUGAUGUUGAAGCUUGCCUCUCCUGGCCUGGGCUUCACGAAUAAUUAUCUCCUUCUGUUGAGAAUUAUGAAGACAGAUAAUGACAGGUCUCGGUCUUUGGCCUGGACUCGGUUUGGCCGAAGGUGCCCGGUGCGCUCUGUCACACUCGGGUGGUGAUCUCAGGACAUCCUCACCGAGAACUUCCAAAAGCAGUUUAUCAAAGAAAGUAGCUGGACGAGGUCCCUCGAUCGAUUCCGGUAAGCCCAGGAUUCUAAUGUUGUUACGCCGACUACGAGACUCCAGAUCCGCCACCUUAGCUAAAAGUUUAGCAUUGCAUUCCAUCAGUGAAGCACAAGAAACUUCAAGAGCUAAAACAUGCUCAUCCUGAAGGUUGACGUUGGCCUCUAAUGAGGAAAUUUUGUGAGCGUGGUCCGUCACUGUACUUUGAAUGCGAUACGGCUUUACUUCCAGUGUUGAGAUGGAGGCUUUAAAAUCAGCCGCAAGUGCUUUACGAUGAUCCUCCAGGAGGCUAGCCAAGGUUGCCAUGUUAAGAUCGGUGUUGAGUUCUUCAGAGGUGGGAGACACAGCAUUCUGUUCCUUCCUGCCGUGUCUCGUUGACAUUGCUGCCAUGAUUAUUCGAAGAAAUGUUAACACCAAGUUCACAGUACGUUUAGAAAGUAGUAGCGGGGUUUGAACAAUUACAAAGUCAUGGGAGCGAGAUUCGGUAUGUGUGCGCUCCUACUCCUUCACAGCCGUCAUCACAUCAUAUGCUGAUGUUAUUUCUGAGUAACUUGCCCAACACUGAUCAGGACCGCCCUCGGCUGGUUCUGAUCCAGGUUGUGUUCAGUAAACCCUUUGUGUUGCAGCUGCAGAAGCUGAUGUGUCACAUGAUGAUGGGGAGUCUGGUGAUGUUCAGGAAGGACUCUUUGCUCAACAUCCUCAGUGAGACACUCUCAGAGGACACCUGUCCUCGCGUUUUCUUUUUCAUGUGUCCACAGCUGAGUCUCUGGACUGGGAGACCUUCGAGCAGUACAGGACCUGACAGCUGUUCCUGGCUCACAGCCUCCCCCUGGAGACCAUCAUCCCCAUCCUGCAGCACCUUAAAUAUAAAGAACACCCGGAGGCCCUGUCCUGUCUGCUGCUGCUGCUCCGCAUAGAGAAGCCCAGUGAGGAGAUGGUGGAGAUGGUCCUGAGUUGUCCCUGUCACCCCGAGGACCAGUUCACUACCAGCAUCCUGAGACACUGGGCGUCCAAUCACCACAAUACGCUCACACGCACACAUCAAGGCCCAGCUGGUCAAGAACAACAACCAGCCCCGCAAGAAACAGAGGUGAGGACAGACAGUCUUCACUCAGACCCCGAUCCUUCGGCUCUGCAGCACGUUCAGGCCAUCUGUGACGAGGUCCACAAGAUGAGGGAGGCACGCACUCACACACACUGAUGGGUGACAUGAGUACAAGGUACAAGGUACAAGUACAAGUACAAGGACUCCCAGAUCAAGCCUACCAAGUCCCGCCGAAAGGCUCCGGCCUCCUCGCUUCGCUUCCGCCCAACAACGAGGAGGAGUGCUCCGCCAGCAGUGUGUCAGUACGUAGCCCCACCUCCACCUGCUCCUGUGUAAGGACAACCUGAAUCUGUGUCUUGUUCUUUGAAUGUUUAAUGUGUGUAAUUUGAUAUUUAAUGUGUCUGAUUUGUGAAACCAGGAAGCAGCUUUGUGUCUUCACCAAGAAGGAACCUCCAGGUUUGAAAAGUGAAACCUCAAACCUGCCCUGACAGGAACAGUAACCAUAAACUAAUGAGUUUAUGGUCUCAGUCGCUAGUCUUCUUCAACACAGCAUGAUGUUCAUUUAGUAAAUUAUGGUCCCAUUUAGAGGAAAAUAGACCUGAAAGCAGGGGAGGCCUUAGGGCGGGGCCACCUUGUGAUUGACAAAUUGCUAUGUGUGACCCAAAUAUGGUACCCCAUGGAUGUUCAGUCUGUGUUCAGGACGGAGCUGAACACCUAUUUUAUCUCAGCUGGACAGGUAGGCUGGAAUAAAAUACAACUUUCAGCUUCCUGCUUAACUUCCAGUCUGAAGGGGAGGGGUUUGUUAACCUGCUUCACUUCUCCAGCCGUUUGGGAACAGACUUUUGUUGGUCUGGAGAAGCUGAAGCAUUUAUUACCUGACACAUGACACUGUUCUUUUACUGCCUGAAUAUUUUCCUUCUCUGAGAUUCACCGUGACUUUCUGUCAUUCAGACAAUCAAACACUCUGAGACCUCCAGAUUAAAGGAGCUGCUCUGAUAAUAGCACCUGUACGGUAGACAUCCUGCAGAGUUUCCGCGAGGUCUUAAAAAAAUUUCAAAAUCAAUAUUUAAGGCCUUAAAAAGUAUUACAUUUGCUGAAGUUUGUGUUCUAGGUCUUAAAUAAUUUAUUUUCCAACAUACAUGUAACGCUACCUCUAAUGCUCGUUGAAAUUGUCCCAGCUCUGUCCUCUAAUGUAUAUCUCGAUAGUUACAUUAAAUUAAAAAGAAAGGACGGUGUUGAGGUUA